AGAUGGGCAUUAAAGUUAAAAAUAGAAACAGCUUGCUAAUUUUCUUUAUGGGAUCAGCUAACACUUUCGAAUCGGUGCUCGACCCAGGCCUGGAGCACCGCUUCACGAGGAAGUAAAUCUUCAUUACCGACGAGACGAGCGGCGAGGCGGCACCGCAGCUCCAGGCAGGGCGGCGGCUCCUCCGACACCCGCGUCAUGCCCUUCAGCUUCCAGCAGCAGACGAGCGGCUGAACAGACACUCCCCGGGAUGACUGAACGACAGCCAGGCUGGACUGAAUGAUCCAGCAGUUGCUGCAGGUAUGGCCAGGUGUUGCAACCCUCCAAUAAGCACCUGUACCAAUCUGGAUAGAGAUGUGUAGUUCACAGUGUAAGGACAAUCCAGUUGUCUGUCAAACAUCUGGCACUGUUCCCCAAAAGAGCUGACAAACUCCGAGCCAAGUUGUUUUUUUUUCUUUACACUCUGGCCUAUAGCGCUGGUAGGCUUUCUUCAGGGGCCUGGUGGUCGACCCAAGCCCGUCACGGCGCAGGCAAGUCUUUAUAGCAGCACCAUUUAUUCUUGGCUCAUGCUGCCCGCCGGAGCUCAUUCUUGAUUCACUUGGACAGUUCCUCUAGAGUUGGGGUUGAUAGGUGAUCUUCAGGAUAGCACGUGGGUAGCCUUAUGCCACUUGGCAAUGACUGAAAAAUCCCAGGUGGUAGCAGAGAAUUUGAACCCGCAUUGUCCAGAACUUGGUGAACGCAGAACCUGCACACUAACCAUUCAGCCACUGCCUCUCUGUUCCAACAUGAGUAAAAAAAUGAGAGGCCAGAAGAGAGUGGUUGAUUUCAAAUGGAGAAGUGUCUAGAUAGGCAGGAGGAAAUAGAUGAAGGAAGGCUGCUCUGGAGUUAACCUGCAUAAGGAAUUAGGAUAGUAUAGAGACGAGUAGAACGUUAUGUAAAAAGGGACCACAGUAGAGGUGGAGGCAUGCAGUUAGCAAGCAUAGAAGGGCAAUCAUCAUGAAAAUGUCUGUAGAAGACAGAGGGGCAACAUUGCAGCAGAGUUUGCUUUAGAAGAAGAGAGUUUAGGUUUGACUCCAUCGAGUCCAAAACAGCUAUGUGAGUGAAGCCCCUCCUAUAUGAAAUGCGCUCUCCAUACGAGGACAGACAAGGCCCCUGGAUAUCAUUUGUGAGGGGUAAAAAACUGAAAGACUAAUACAGAACACACAACUUCAAAGAAGCUGAUUUAGGAAGAGGUGAGAUGAAAUUAUGAGGAUAGACCAAAUAUGUUUAUUGUUUAAGUGGACAGCUGAGUAUAGUCAUAGAAUAGGGAACAGAUGUUCGGAAUUCUAUCCCUCUGUUUUUAUAUCGUGUUUCCUUUCAAGCUGAUCUAUCUAUGCUGUGGUAAUCCUGCCACUGUCUUCCUCUAAACCUCUCAGCACCUGUAUUCUGUACGUCUAUUUUAUUUCCCUCUCUGAGGAAAAAGUCAAUUUCUCCGCCUAUCAACUGAACAAAUUUUAUCGUCUAUUCCCUAGUCUUCGACCACACUCAGCAGCCCCCUUCCCCUACACUAAAUAUUCUCUGUCUAUCCUUAACUCAAAACAUUAACUGAAAACUUAUUUCCUCUCUUGCUAAAUCAGAUUCUUCGAGGUUAUGCAUUUGUAUUGUUUUCACCAGCUCUAUUCCCCCUCACACAUGCUGUCCACUUACAAGGGUCUUUUCUGUCCUCAUAUGGAGUAUGACAGAAGUCUUAGACAAAUGGUGGAAAAUUCUGUAGGAUCAAGGUCAUGGGCACGAGAGGAAGUGACAUCUUGGCAUACAUAGAUGCAGCAUCCAGCUUGGAUUGAAAGCUGGGAUGAAGAUAGCAAGAGACAUACAUCACGGCAGCCACUAAUGGACUGGAGUUGUCCAAGAAACCCCCCAAAGAAAGCCUACCAUCACUACCGACGAUUACUGUCAGUAGCCCCAGAGAACCGUGUUUCAGUUAAGAUGAAGAGGUAAAGGAAGAGGAGGUAAAAGAGGAGAGAUGAUGUUCUACAGGAUGGAAACGGAAGCAAAGAUCGUGAAUGUUGCAAAAUUUGGAAAAAAAAGGUGAGUUAUCAGGACAGCUGUGUACUAUAGGUUUGUUAUGUCACUGCACAAUACAUUCAAUAAGCUGUAACUUAAAAUAAUUUGUAUCUUUUGAAACUAGAUGCUUAUAAUAUUUCUCCAGAGGCUGCCUGAGUUAUUACUUAGUACAAUUUUGAAGACCUAUAAACAUUUCCAGCUGUUCUUUACUGCAUAUUAAUAAUGAUUUGUAUUGUUAGAUAACUAUAUCAAAAUUCAAAUCUAGAGACAGCUGCCAUUAAAUUGAGGUUUUGCAUAUUUUUGAGUUUCACUGUAGAAAGUACCAUGAAUCAAUAUAUUUUGUAGACUUUGUUCA